rnacentral:pre_miRNA from 1 species
AGCCUUCCGUAUCCGUGCUGAGAUUUCGCCACACACCAGACCACGAGGGCUGGUGAGAAUCCCAAAAUAAGUAAAGCU